rnacentral:rRNA from 1 species
CACGGGGGGAGCAAGCGUUGUUCGGAAUCACUGGGCUUAAAGGGCGCGUAGGCGGGCUGCCAAGUCUGGGGUGAAAUCCUCCGGCUCAACCGGAGAACGGCCUCGGAUACUGGCGGUCUCGAGGGAGGUAGGGGCGUGCGGAACUAAGGGUGGAGCGGUGAAAUGCGUUGAUAUCCUUAGGAACUCCGGUGGCGAAGGCGGCACGCUGGACCUCUUCUGACGCUGAGGCGCGAAAGCCAGGGGAGCAAACGGG